CAACCAGGGCAUGUGACCUGACUGGAAUUGAACUGUGACUUCCUGGUUCAUAGGUUAACCCUCAGCCACCGAGCCACGCUGGUAGGGCCAUUUCUUUUUUUAGCCUGUGGAAACCACUUCAGUCCCUCUUUAAUGCACAGAAUUGUUAUUUGCCUAACUACCUUUGUGAGCCAGAAGGCAAGUUGGGAACUCCGAAUGCAUAGACAUUCUGUACUUGUGAGAUUGAGGUGUCUGAAUGAGUUUGUUUCCGUUUCUUAAGCUCAGGCAUGGGGUGCAUCCAGUAAAGACCCCCGUCCCCUUAGCAGCACUGGGAUGCCCCUCAGGAGAGUCUGAGCAUCCCUCCACCUUGACAUCUAAGAUACCAGAGAGAGGUCUUAUCAGUUAGCAGACCACCAGUGUCUGCUGUGGCGACGAUUUCCCUCAAUAAUAGAUCCAGCCAGGCAGCUCCGCUCUCAGCCGCCGGAGGGACAGGCAGAAAACCUGAGGGAGAGGCGGUGCCAUCCUGGGCAUGCCUGCUGGUGGCAAGCUGCCUCUGUGUAAAUAGAAGUUUUUUCUGGAAUCGGUUAGAGGGAGUAGAAAACACCCACGCAGAAAAGAAACGUGUGUGUUUAGUUAGGAAAGGAGUUUGCUUGUGAGUCUGAUUGCAGGUUCCCAGGAAGCACGUGGCCAGCCUGCUUCUCUGCAUGUUUGUGCUGAGUCGUAUUGAACGGUAGGUACAGUGUGAAGUUUGCUGUAGAGGAGGGAGCGUUUCCAAAGUUGCCCGCUAAGACCAUAGCGAAUUCCCCCACAUCCUUUCUGUGCCAUGCAGUCUGUGCAGAGCCCAUGAAUUAAACUAGACUUCUUUAUCUGUGUGUCCUUGGUGGCAGC